rnacentral:rRNA from 1 species
GAGCGGAGAUGAGGUGCUUGCACCUUAUCUUAGCGGCGGACGGGUGAGUAAUGCUUAGGAAUCUGCCUAUUAGUGGGGGACAACAUUCCGAAAGGAAUGCUAAUACCGCAUACGUCCUACGGGAGAAAGCAGGGGAUCUUCGGACCUUGCGCUAAUAGAUGAGCCUAAGUCGGAUUAGCUAGUUGGUGGGGUAAAGGCCUACCAAGGCGACGAUCUGUAGCGGGUCUGAGAGGAUGAUCCGCCACACUGGGACUGAGACACGGCCCAGACUCCUACGGGAGGCAGCAGUGGGGAAUAUUGGACAAUGGGGGGAACCCUGAUCCAGCCAUGCCGCGUGUGUGAAGAAGGCCUUAUGGUUGUAAAGCACUUUAAGCGAGGAGGAGGCUACUGAGACUAAUACUCUUGGAUAGUGGACGUUACUCGCAGAAUAAGCACCGGCUAACUCUGUGCCAGCAGCCGCGGUAAUACAGAGGGUGCGAGCGUUAAUCGGAUUUACUGGGCGUAAAGCGUGCGUAGGCGGCUUUUUAAGUCGGAUGUGAAAUCCCCGAGCUUAACUUGGGAAUUGCAUUCGAUACUGGGAAGCUAGAGUAUGGGAGAGGAUGGUAGAAUUCCAGGUGUAGCGGUGAAAUGCGUAGAGAUCUGGAGGAAUACCGAUGGCGAAGGCAGCCAUCUGGCCUAAUACUGACGCUGAGG